AUCNGGCUACCAUGCAGUCGAGGGGCAGCAUUUCAGUUUGCUUGCAAACUGGAGAUGGCGACCGGCGCACGGGUGAGUAACACGUAUCCAACCUGCCGAUAACUCGGGGAUAGCCUUUCGAAAGAAAGAUUAAUACCCGAUGGNAUAAUCAGACCGCAUGGUCUUAUUAUUAAAGAAUUUCGGUUAUCGAUGGGGAUGCGUUCCAUUAGGCAGUUGGUGAGGUAACGGCUCACCAAACCUUCGAUGGAUAGGGGUUCUGAGAGGAAGGUCCCCCACAUUGGAACUGAGACACGGUCCAAACUCCUACGGGAGGCAGCAGUGAGGAAUAUUGGUCAAUGGGCGCAGGCCUGAACCAGCCAAGUAGCGUGAAGGAUGACUGCCCUAUGGGUUGUAAACUUCUUUUAUAUGGGAAUAAAGUUUUCCACGUGUGGAAUUUUGUAUGUACCAUAUGAAUAAGGAUCGGCUAACUCCGUGCCAGCAGCCGCGGUAAUACGGAGGAUCCGAGCGUUAUCCGGAUUUAUUGGGUUUAAAGGGAGCGUAGGUGGACAGUUAAGUCAGUUGUGAAAGUUUGCGGCUCAACCGUAAAAUUGCAGUUGAUACUGGCUGUCUUGAGUACAGUAGAGGUGGGCGGAAUUCGUGGUGUAGCGGUGAAAUGCUUAGAUAUCACGAAGAACUCCGAUUGCGAAGGCAGCUCACUGGACUGCAACUGACACUGAUGCUCGAAAGUGUGGGUAUCAAACAGGAUUAGAUACCCUGGUAGUCCACACAGUAAACGAUGAAUACUCGCUGUUUGCGAUAUACAGUAAGCGGCCAAGCGAAAGCAUUAAGUAUUCCACCUGGGGAGUACGCCGGCAACGGUGAAACUCAAAGGAAUUGACGGGGGCCCGCACAAGCGGAGGAACAUGUGGUUUAAUUCGAUGAUACGCGAGGAACCUUACCCGGGCUUAAAUUGCAUUUGAAUANUNUGGAAACAGNNUAGCCGNAAGGCAAAUGUGAAGGUGCUGCAUGGUUGUCGUCAGCUCGUGCCGUGAGGUGUCGGCUUAAGUGCCAUAACGAGCGCAACCCUUAUCUUUAGUUACUAACAGGUCAUGCUGAGGACUCUAGAGAGACUGCCGUCGUAAGAUGUGAGGAAGGUGGGGAUGACGUCAAAUCAGCACGGCCCUUACGUCCGGGGCUACACACGUGUUACAAUGGGGGGUACAGAAGGCAGCUACCUGGUGACAGGAUGCUAAUCCCAAAAGCCUCUCUCAGUUCGGAUCGAAGUCUGCAACCCGACUUCGUGAAGCUGGAUUCGCUAGUAAUCGCGCAUCAGCCAUGGCGCGGUGAAUACGUUCCCGGGCCUUGUACACACCGCCCGUCAAGCCAUGAAAGCCGGGGGUACCUGAAGUACGAACCGCAAGGAGCUCCUAGG
rnacentral:rRNA from 1 species